GACACGGAGGUUCAGACCUGCUUCCUGGACCCCUCCAUGGAGGUCCCCCACCCCAGGGCUCUAAAAGGCCCAGGUACUAAAUCUCUAGCACUGGUUUUCAGCCAUUGGAUAUAGCUGGCAGUCCUGGAUCUCGCUCUGUAGCCCAGGCUGCCCUCAAACUCAGAGAUCCUCCUGUCUCUGCCUCUCGAGUGCUGGGAUUAAAGGCGUGUGCCACCACUGCCUGGAGCCUAGAGCCAUUUUUAAUUGUGUAGACUUGGUAGAGGAUACUAUGGCAGUUGCAGGUAGAAUCAAGGGGUGCUGCUAAACACCCUAGAAUGAACUGGCCGCCAUUAGGAAUUCGGCUGAUGCCCAACUUUUGAGGAUUUCCUAAAAGCACCCGAGACUCAGUUUGAGCACCUGCAUCCUAAGCACUGAGGACCGGUGUUUGGGGUGGGGGGGAUCUCAUGAGAUUAUGAACCUCAAAGAAUCCAGCUUCGUCUGACUCUGCUCCACUAACCGUAAGGCAGGGAAGUAAGUGCUCAUGUUUUUACAAACGUUUGCAGCAAGCUCCCUCAAGAACAAUCAAAUACUGUUGUAAUUGUCUGAGUCAACCAUGAUGUCUAAUCAAAUGAACUCCUUGCUCUUCGUGGAUUCCUUAGUUAUGCUCAGGCCUGAGCUUAGCCCGACUGGCCCUUUCCAAGCCAGGUAUGUGCCCACAAGGUGCCCUCUUCUCCAUACCCCACCUCACUGCUGUAGCCUUCGUCUUGGUCUUGACUAGAUUUGGAGAGUGCCCCACCUCGCAUUUUGGCCCUUUGUCUCUGUAGGGAAGAUUUGUGGGACCCCAGUAUUUGGUGUGAUGGACAACUUAAAUGAACAGGAGUGGACCCUGGGUAGGAGAGAGGAGAUCUACACCCCUACUCUCAAGAUGGAGAAGGUUGAACUUGAGCAGAGAAGGAGACGCUGUACCCCAGUGCCAAGACCUGGAGAGGGUAACAGCAUUAUUGUCUCCAAGAGGCCAAACCACUUGCCCAGACUUGUGGCAGAAGACCCCGAGGAUGGCUCAAUCUUCUGGCUAAAACCAGGAAGGUGUAUCCAAGAAGAUUGGGGGACAAACCACACACGGAUGUGGGUCCAUGAUGCUCUCCUGGGUCAGCUUCAGGUCACCCUCCAGCUUCCGCUUUGCUCGCUCCAGGUCCAUGCGCACCUUCUUCUCCUGCUCCAGGGAUCCCUCCAGCUGGUGGAGAAAAUAAAACAAAUAAAUACUGGAAAGGCCGAAAUCCACAGUGGUCAAAGGAUAUCAUCCCAGAGACACCUAUAAAGAUGCUACCAGCUAGGCCCACGCUCUGGUCUGGAAACCUUCAGGAGACCUGGGCUGAACCCGAGGAAGCUGGACUCACC